rnacentral:misc_RNA from 1 species
CGCUUAUCUGAUUAUGUUUAUAGGCGUGAUGAAAAAGUUUACCCUUACGUAUUAGGUAUUUCCUAACAGAUCUAUAUGAUUUUGACAAUGUUUUUCCUUCUUUUGCCUUUACCGCCCCUUCCACUACACCUGGGGGCGACUCUCCAGAACAAACAUAGUGAGAAAUAUCAAAUAAACGCCUUACUGAAAUAUGAUAUUGUUGUGUGAGCCAGUAAUUCUCGCCUGAACUGUCUUUAACCUGACAGGAGGGUCACGUGAUAUAAAAACUAAAGAGGUGCUCUGCGAUCUUUCAACUCUUCUUAGAGUAAAAGAAUUUAUGGGUGGAUGUGCGUUUGUGUAUGAGCGUGUGUUUCUUAUUUAUAUAAACAAGGGCAAUAAUGAAAAUUUUUGUCUAUAAACUAUCUAAACAAAUAUCAGAUAAAUAUAAGAGAAUAAUUUCCAAAUUACACUUAAUUAGACGAAACUAAACCAUAUCUAUAAAAUCAGUGACUCACCUAACGAGGGUUUCUCUCUACAAUUGAAUAUUUAUGCAUUAGAUCCCACAUUUCUUGUUCAAUUAACUAGAUUAACCACUCUCAUAAAAUACAACAUAUCUAAGUGAGAGAGAGGAAUAAAAUAUGUUCAUAGUCGACUAAGUUAUUCGCAUAUUGAAUAUAUAAAAAGCUCUAUUUUCACGGACAUAUAAAGCGAUCGCCAUCGUCCGGGAAAAUGACGAGGUAGACCGCAGAAUGGAGACAAAUAUAGAUUCUUGUAAAAAGAGGCCAUUGAGUAUUACAUCGACGACGUCUUCCACUACGUCAUCACUUCCUCGGCAUCAGAAGAAGAAGUUAGCGCCUUUCGACUUGUCAAUGACUUCCUAUAUUCAGAAUAUCUCCUCUGAAAUCGUUCGCACAGAAGAGACGUUCGCUAACGAUUUGAAGCAGAUUAUCGACGCUUACCUAAUACCCCUUCGCUCGACAUGUGAUCUUUCAAAUGAAUUGACGGAUUCAAUGUUUUGCAAUAUUGAAGAACUAUACGACUUUAGUCAAUCGUUAUUAGCUGAAAUGAAAGAUGUUAUAUCGGAACCUGCCGAAUUGGCUGACAUUUUCGUAAGAAGGUGCCAAGAAUUCGAUGACAUCUACUUUCCUUAUUGCUCAAACUUUCAAAGAGCUUCUGCUGCUUGGAAUAGGUGCCUUUGUAAUCCGACUCAUAACAGAACAUUAAUGAGUUUAAAAGUUCAACAUGGUCAUACGUUCAAUUUACACGAUUACUUAUUGAAACCAGUGCAAAGGAUCCUCAAAUAUCCUUUAUUGCUUUCUAAUAUGAGUCAGAAGGCUGAUGAAGAUUUAAAGCCAAGGAUUAUGGCUGCUCACUUAGCUAUGCAAAACGUCGCUGCCAAAUUAAACAAUUUCAAUAGCCAAUUGAAUUUAUACAGUCAGAUACCGGAAGCUUACAAGUAUGGAAAAAUCAUUAAUUUCGGUUUGUUAAGAGUACUAGAUGUCAAGGGUCAACGAAGCGUGUAUCUCUUUGAGAAAGCGUUACUUGUUGCAAAAAAGAAGGACGAUGAAUUCUUAAAUGAUAAACUUAUUAUUGAAUUUAGAAAUUUAACUAUGUGCGAAGUCGUACCGGAAGGAAAUUUGUUCUUUCGUGUCUUUCAUUUUCAAAAACCGGAAGUAUCAAUAACAUUUAAAGCAUCUUCAAAGUGUGAAAAGAAAAAAUGGUGCGAUCAGAUAAAAGAACGAAUGAUGGUAACGUUCGAAAAGAAAUUACCAGACCAUGUUCUAAGUCUAGUAAUGAACAUGGGUCCAAUCGAAAAAGAAAAUCGAUCAUCAACAGCCAACUCUUCGUCAUCCAAAAGGUUGACUCUACGCCGAAUGAGUACUACUUUACUACCUGACGGGCUAUUUCGUAAUUUUCGUUCACCUACAACUGGUAGUUUAAAACGCGAUGUUAACGUUGAUAUAACGUCUCCGAUGCCUCAAGGGCGAGCGUUCUUGAAGAGUCACUGGUCAGAGAGUGGAUUAAUAACUUUACAAAAAAAGCCUGGUCUGAGGAGAAGCAAAAGUUUUGAAAGCAUAGAAAAUUUAUGUAAUUUUUCUAGGCCUGAUAGGGCAACUGGAGAAGGAGAAAAAAAAACGAUAGAGGAUACGGUCACGUUGUUUGCCGACGAUUGUUUAACAGAUGAAGAGCAGGCAAAUGAUACCGAUCAAACUGAUAACACUAAUACUCAUUUAGCUGUUUCGGAAGAUUUAGACGAAGAGGAGAGUCGAAGUGAUGAAGAAGUAAAGAAGAAUGAAGAUCAAUUACGAAGAAAAUCGUGGACGUGUAAGGAUAGUAGUAAAGAAUGCAAUGGAAAAGCCGAACGACGGAGAAGUACAAUUGCCGAUUCUAACUCUUCUCUAUCGAAAAAGGAAGAAAGUGGAAAGCCUAAUAGGAAAAACCGUCUCUUCAAAAAAGUAACCUCAAGACCAGCCGUUAUGGGCGAGUCUCGCGUAGGAGAAAGGAUGGCUGUUAACGAUCCUCCUUCCUAUGGACCUUAUACUUUGGAACGGCGUCGAAAAGAUAAAGUUCCUGAUUCAGAAUGCUCUUCUAGUCAACCACUCAAAAUUGACAAGCCUAGUUCCCAGUCAAUAGAAAAGAAUAAGGAAAAGGCUUACGAGAUUCCUUUCGUCGAAACAUCCCAUUUGCAACUUGAAGAGAAGUCUAAAGUUCCGCAGGAUACGGAAGAAACGUCUGGGCAAUCUCUCUUUUCAAAUGAAACUCCAGACAAAGGAGAAAAUAGCUGCAGUUCUACAUUCGAUAUAUACGAAAAGUGCCUCGUAGCCGCUUUAGAAUCAAGCGAUUCCGGCUAUAAUAUUCACGAAGAUAAUGAAGAAACGGACACGGUUCAGAAGACUCGGAGUCAAAACCCAUCUCGUGUUAAAAGGGCAUUGAGCGUUUUCGAAACUAGGCCAUCGCGAAACGGAAUUCCUCUGUGUCAAGGUUGGGCGGGAUCCAGUGAUGAUUCUGCCAUUUCAGUAAAGAGUCUAACCGAUAGGAAAAAAGAAUUUGAACUUGCAACCUUCCCUUUUGACGGAAAGAGGGAAAACAAUUUUGUUGAGGAAACUCGCAAAGGGUGGGUUAGGCAUGUCGUUGAUAGAAUAGAAUUAUUAGAGUGUGGUGAAGUGACUAACUCUGAUUCUGAAGUGUAA